rnacentral:rRNA from 1 species
UACGUAGGGACCAAGCGUUGUUCGGAUUUACUGGGCGUAAAGGGCGCGUAGGCGGCGCGGUAAGUCACUUGUGAAAUCUCUGAGCUUAACUCAGAACGGCCAAGUGAUACUGCAGUGCUAGAGUGCAGAAAGGGCAAUCGGAAUUCUUGGUGUAGCGGUGGAAUGCGUAGAGAUCCGGAAGAACACCGGUGGCGAAGGCGGCCUGCUGGGCAGUGGCUGACACUGAGGCGCGACAGCGUGGGGAGCAAACAGG